GAUGAACGCUAGCGGCAGGCCUAACACAUGCAAGUCGAGGGAGGAGCUUUCGGGCUUCGACCGUCGUACGGGUGCGUAACGCGUAUACAAUCUGCCUUUCACAUAGGGAUAGCCCGAAGAAAUUUGGAUUAAUACCUAAUGGUAUAUAGGAGUGGCAUCACCUUUAUAUUAAAGCUGAGGCGGUGAAAGAUGAGUAUGCGUUCUAUUAGCUAGUUGGAGAGGUAACGGCUCCCCAAGGCGACGAUAGAUAGGGGUUCUGAGAGGGAUAUCCCCCACACUGGUACUGAGAUACGGACCAGACUCCUACGGGAGGCAGCAGUGAGGAAUAUUGGACAAUGGUCGGAAGACUGAUCCAGCCAUGCCGCGUGCAGGAAGACGGCCUUAUGGGUUGUAAACUGCUUUUGCAGGGGAAGAAUAAGGAGUACGUGUACUUUGAUGACGGUACUCUGCGAAUAAGCAUCGGCUAACUCCGUG
rnacentral:rRNA from 1 species